GAAACAUCUAAGUAGCUGCAGGAAAAGAAAUCAACCGAGAUUCCCAAAGUAGCGGCGAGCGAAAUGGGAAGAGCCUGUACGUGAUAGUCGGACCGAUAACAGAAUCCUCUGGAAAGUGGAGCCAUAGUGGGUGAUAGCCCCGUAUGUGAAAUCGGACCGGUGGUACUAAGCGUACGACAAGUAGGGCGGGACACGUGACAUCCUGUCUGAAUAUGGGGGGACCAUCCUCCAAGGCUAAAUACUC
rnacentral:rRNA from 1 species